AGAAGAAAAAGGCAAACUAUUCGAAAGGGUAGGACGCAAAGCCAAGGAUCUAAAAUGCCGGUUACAGGACAUCAUGACCGCCUGGCUGCCAAA
rnacentral:ncRNA from 1 species